rnacentral:misc_RNA from 1 species
GCAAACUUGGUCAUUUAGAGGAAGUAAAAGUCGUAACAAGGUUUCCGUAGGUGAACCUGCGGAAGGAUCAUUAACGAGUGAGGGUCCCCAAAGGGGCCCAAUCUCCCCACCCGUGCUUAACUAUAAACCAUGUUGCUUUGGCGGGCCCACUGGGACUCAGUUCCUGGUCGCCAAGGGGCAAGGAAAAUCCCCCCUGGGCCUGUGCCCGCUGGAGAUCAUCAAAAUACUCAUCGAAAAGUUGGUCUGAGUGAAUUUUUUAACUGUUUGGAAAACUUUCAACAACGGAUCUCUUGGUUCCGGCAUCGAUGAAGAACGCAGC